rnacentral:rRNA from 1 species
UACGGAGGGUGCAAGCAUUAAUCGGAUUUAUUGGGCGUAAAGGGCGCGUAGGCGGGGAUAUAAGUCAGAUGUGAAAUCCUGGGGCUCAACCUCAGAACUGCAUUUGAAACUGUAUCUCUUGAGGGUAGAAGGAGAAAACGGAAUUCCACAAGUAGCGGUGAAAUGCGUAGAUAUGUGGAAGAACACCGGUGGCGAAGGCGGUUUUCUAUUUUAUUCCUGACGCUGAUGCGCGAAAGCAAGGGGAUCAAACAGG